AAUAACAACUCAGCAGCCAUAUUUCUCAGGGCCUGAGCGAUCGAAUGAUUAGCAACUUCCUUUUGGCGUCGUCAGUCGUAUUUCCGGCAAAUCACUGCAGCUUUUUACCCUCCAAAAUUCCCGAAAUUCCAAAUCGGCAGCGUUUAUCUGAUCGAAUCCCUUCUGGGUUUUGCUUUUCAAUCCUCGAAUCGAAUUGGGUUAAUUUCAAUUUCAAAUUUUUGAUUUGAUCCAAUCUCUGAUUUCAAUUCUCUGAAAGCUCUGUUUCUGUCUUCAACUUUUCAAAACCUUUUCUGUCUCUGUAGAGUCCAGUACUAGGGCUGUUGGCAGUGGGUAGGGUUUUCUGAAAGCGAAAAAGGCAAAGAGCAGAAGAUCAUGGACCUCAGCGCCUUCUGGGACCACGUGUCCGUCACGUGACUCUGAGAAUUUCCCUUUUGUUUCAGUCGUCGUCUUCCUUGAUCCUCUCUUCUCUCUCCCUCUCCCUCUCUCUCUCUCUCUCUCUCUCUCUCUCUAUGUUUGUGUGUAUAUGGCUUACCAGCAGCAACAACAGCAAGGAGGGGCUCAGCUGUUCAAUUCCCCGUUCGGGGACACGACGUUGACGAAGGUGUUCGUGGGGGGAUUGGCCUGGGAGACCCAGAGCGACACUCUACGACGUCACUUCGAGCAGUUCGGCGAAAUCCUCGAGGCUGUCGUCAUCACCGAUAAGAACACCGGCCGAUCCAAAGGCUAUGGCUUUGUCACAUUUCGUGAUCCUGAAUCUGCAAGAAGGGCUUGCUUGGAUCCCAAUCCUGUGAUCGAUGGCCGCAGAGCUAACUGCAAUCUUGCUUCUCUGGGUCGUCCCCGCCAACCUUUCCUUUUUCAUGGGCAAGUGAGAUCACCAGCUCCAAUCCUCGGCCGCGUGCAGCCGCCUAGAGCUGCUUACAUGGGGAGCCCCAACCCUGCUUACCACCACCCUAUUCCUCAUGGUUACCAGCCCGGGUUCGUGUACCCGUCUUAUGGGUACACAGGAUAUGGACCUGAAUUUGUCUACCCACAGGGUGCCUACAGUCCUUACAUGACUCAGCAGCAAUACCUUCAGAUAUAUGGGGUACCAGGCACAGUCAACCCUGGCGUAUAUUCAUAUGGACAAUUGGGUCAGUCACUCCCUGGAAGCCAUGGAUAUGCAACAGUUCAAAACUAUGGAGUUCCAGGUCAUCAUGUAAUGCAAUUCGGUGGGGCCAAUGUCGGUGCAGCAUCCCCAGCUGCCAUUCCAACGAUUCAAACACCAUAUCCUGCAGGUAUAGUUGCACCAGCUCCAGGACAGACGCAGUAUAUGCUUCCUACUAAUUCUCCUCAAUUCACCAGUGGUUCCGAUCAAACUGCAGGUUGAGUGGUAAAUCAGAAGGGUCACUUCUGGAGGUAAUCCUUAUUGCAGCAGGACUAUGAGAAGCUACUGCUACCUAAGUGGCAGCCUCUAAAUCUAGCCUUGCAAGUUAUUAUCUUUACUUUCUAGAGGUGACACCUGUUUUCCCUUAUAAAGUCAUUCAUGGUGGUCAUCGGAGAUACUUCAAAGUCAGCUGUUAGAUGUUAAAGAGGAUGGAAGAGCAUCAUGGGUUGUUGCUUUUUUCACCUGGUGGUGUCUGUAAAAUAUGCCGUUGCAGUGCCACGUGGCUCAAAGCCGCUUGGCACGAUAUUAUGGGUCAUUGCGUGUUUGCCGGAAAUAUGGUUUUCCGGCAGACGCAGCGUAAUAAGACUGUAAAUGUGUAAAUAACCCUAAACUUUCUUCUGUAUCAAAGAAAGAAUCAAUACGAUUCGUUUCAUGGACUCUGGACCCAACAUAUGGGUUCAGUCAUUGUCGAGUCUCACACAUUGUAUUUACCACCGAAAAAAAAUCAUUGUUCAAAUUUGAAUUUCUCUAUUCAAUUGGCGCUUCUUCA